rnacentral:rRNA from 1 species
UACGGAGGGUGCAAGCGUUGUUCGGAUUUAUUGGGCGUAAAGCGCGUGUAGGCGGUCUCUUAAGUCUGAUGUGAAAGCCCUGGGCUCAACCCAGGAAGUGCAUUGGAUACUGGGAGACUUGAAUACGGGAGAGGGUAGUGGAAUUCCUAGUGUAGGAGUGAAAUCCGUAGAUAUUAGGAGGAACACCGGUGGCGGAAGGCGGCUACCUGGACCGAUAUUGACGCUGAGGAGCGAAAGCGUGGGGAGCGAACAGG